rnacentral:tRNA from 1 species
GGAUAAAGUUCCUGCAAAUUGAUAGUUUCUAGGCGGUCUCGAAAACCGUUACGGGUCGUUAGGCCCGUCGAGGGUUCGAAUUCCUCCCCCUCCG